rnacentral:misc_RNA from 1 species
AUUUUAUCCUAGACAUGAAUAUUAUCUUCUUCAGAUCAAGGAUUCUUUAUCUACGGAUCUAAAUGCAGGGCUUUUUUUCAACAUUGUCCUGCAAUCUUCAGCUUUUAUACAAAUAGGAAAGCAGAAUUUAUCUAAAUACGUUUUCAAUACGUAAUUCGAAAAUGGAAGAAAAGCAAAAGCUGAUGCAACAAAGCGAUUCUUGAUAGUAACUAUUGUGAUACUUGGAAUUGCGUGUAUAUGUUUGCUCGUAGGACUUCUGGUGGUUCUCCAGAAAGAUGGCGAUGGAAAGGACAAAAUAAGUUCAUUGUGAAGUAGAGAAUAUGUUUAAACAUCAGACGGAACCCGAAAAUCCUGGAGUUUUUGAAGAACUUACGAACAAAGAAAUUGAAGGUUUAAAAGAAUAUUUGUAUGAACAAGCUGGAUUGGACUUGGUCCGUCCGUCGAAAAGCAAAAGGAAUGCUAACUACAUAUUUGUUGCAGAGCUACAUCUUCCAAAUAAGACAGAUGUUAUAGGUCAUCUUGAUAACGGAGCGGCACAGCCUUCACGAGAAGCAAAGGUCAUAGUUAUUCGUGGAAAGCAACCAGACACAUGGAUAAAUGAGUUAGUGGUUGGUCCCUUGCCGACACCAACAUACCACAAACCUCUUCCAGGUAUCAAUGCAACGUUGCCUUAUUUCUACAGACCAAUGACAGAAGAAGAUUACGGGUCUGUUACAACUUCUAUCACUAAUCAGGUUCAUGAAACACUUGGAAAUUUGAUUAACAAUUGUUUUGAUGCGAAACUCAAAGACUGUGGAAAUAAGUGUAUUGGGUUCCUGUAUGCCUCAUCAUUUUCUCCAGCUUCUAGCGGAGAACAGACGAGGAAAACUUGGUAUUGGCUGACAUAUGUCGUUGAAUAUUACACCCUUCACCCUGUGGACUUUUCUGUUUUGGCAAAUAUAAAACAAGACGGCGUCGAUAUUGAUGUUGUCUGGUUUAAGGGUAAUCAAUACAAGUCAAUGAAUGAAUUAACAUCUUUGUAUACAAACGGAACUGUAAAAUGUGACCCGCAAACAUUUCCAACUGUUGACAAAAAUCUUUUCUCUGCUCCUCACAGGAGAGGACCUAUUCCUGAAACUGCAAACAAUAAACGUAGUCCUGUAUUUGUUCAGCCAGACGGUCAACGGUAUAAUGUAAAUGGGAGACGUGUCAACUAUAUGCAAUGGUCGUUUGAUUUUCGUUUGUCCACUUCUUAUGGUCCACAAGUGUAUGAUGUAAGAUUUAACAACAAGCGAAUCGUGUACGAAUUAGGAGUACAAGAGAUUUCUGUGUUUUAUUCCUGGACACAGCCCCCAACAACGCUUCUAAGACUACAUGGAUUCCGCUGAACUUAUUGGACCAUCGGCACAGGGACUUGUGCCUGGCGUGGACUGUCCAAACCACGCAACAUUUUAUGACACGAAACAUAUAACGGAAACAUCGGAAAUUGCUGACGUCACCAAGAAUGUGUUUUGUUUAUUUGAAUUAAAUACCGGAGAACCACUACGAAGACACCACUCCUACUACGAAUCAGAAGGUAAAUUCUACGAAGGAAUGGAAAACGUAAUUUUAGUUCUUAGAACUAUUGUUACUGUAGUCAAUUACGACUAUGUGCUAGACUUUCGGUUUUAUCAAAAUGGCGUUAUUGAAGUUAAGAGCAUGUCCACAGGUUAUAUUCUGGCCAAUGCUUUCUCUGAAAUGGAGAGGAAAUAUGGAUUUCAGUUGCAUGAUUCAAUUGUUGCAAACUUCCAUACGCACCUUUUUCAUUUCAAAGCUGACUUGGAUGUUAAUGGACAAAGCAAUAGAUACGAAGUUUAUUGAUAUCAAAUCUGAAACUGCACCAAAUGAGUUUUCAAAAAUUACAAGAUCAACGUACAGCCAGGGAUACAUAGAAACAUCAUUGAAAAGUACGGAGAAGGAUGCAGCUUACAAAUUUAAUUUUGAAACUCCUAAAUACCACAUAUUCUAUAACAAUAACACUCGGGAUGGAUACGGAAACCCAAUGGCAUACAGGCUCAUACAUAACGGUAUGGUUAAACAGGUAAUACCGGAAGGACACAAUAAGGAACCAGCUAUAAGCUGGGCCAGAUACCAGCAUGCUGUAACACAACAGAAGGACACCGAAGCUCACAGUAGUUCAAUGUAUUCCAUGUUUGAUACAGACGAUCAAGUAGUCAACUUUCUAGGAUAUAUUGAAGACGACAAAAGCAUCAAAGAUGAGGACCUCGUUCUGUGGGUGACUUUGGGUGUCCAUCAUAUUCCACACAAAGAAGGCCUUCCACUGACGACAUCAACAGGCGUUGCACCCAGUUUCUUUCUGCAACCUUUUAAUUACUUUUCCGAAGAUCCAGCGAUGUCCUCACCAAAUGCAAUACGAAUGGAGCCGAGGAACUCCGAAGCGUUCAUAGAACGAUACGGAAUGUCUCGAGAAUCUAAAACCACGUGCGUUCCCAGAAAGACAAACUUUGAAGACAAAAUUAAAACAGACACUGAUAUUGUUUUUGAGAAUUGAUUUAACCGUAGUUUUGAUUUUGUUUGCAUAACACUUCAGGACAAAAAUCUUUUUAUAUUGUAACCCCCUUGACACAGAAUGCAUUGUAUAGUUUAAAUUUGUUUAAGCCGAACACCUGCACAACUUUUCAUUUAUCAAUAUUGUAGUCUUCUGAAAUAUGUCAGGCUCUUUUUAUUCUUUUACUUGCAGUGUUGUUUUCUUCUCCUUCUUAGUCCAAUACAUCCAUUUUACAUACUUUAAAGAUAAAAGAAGACCUUUGAAAAGACUUAAACACUUACUAACCUUUAAAAUAGCAUAUAAUCUAAUGUCGAGUUGAAAUGACAGCUUUUGAUGGAAAGUCCUUGUAAAAUGCUCAUGACACCAUGACAGAUAUAUCAUAGGCUAAGGCAUGGUGUCCUCUCUAUUGCUUCGCCUAUUGGUUAAAACAUUGAGGAGAAUUUGCAUGUGCCAUAUAUAAACUCCUCCUAUGGAAAUGCACCCGAAAGUAAACAUCAAUGUGAUCUUCUGUAAACUCAGAAUGAAAUCAAAUAGCUUGCUUUAUAUACAUACUCAAAUAUUAAGUAGUUCUGCACGUUUGAAAUAAUAUUUACAAUAUAAAAUUUCAUUAGAUUAUAUUCUUCAAUGUAUAAAUGUAUCCGAUGGACAUUCAGCCAAUAAAAGAGUUUAACCAAUU